rnacentral:misc_RNA from 1 species
AACGCACAUUGCGCCCCUUGGUAUUCCGAGGGGCAUGCCUGUCCGAGCGUCAGUUCAACAAUCAAGCCCCGCUUGGUGUUGGGCCCGAGGCCGGCCCCCCGUGGGCCGGCCCGCCCGAAACGCAUCGGCGAGGAGACCGACCCCCGGCGUCUUGAGAAUCUCACGGUUCGCACGUCGGGAGCACCGGUGGCCUCCGCCGCAACCUCUUUUAACCAAAGGUUGACCUCGGAUCAGGUAGGGAUACCCGCUGAACUUAA